UGCCGCGUAGCUCAGUUGGUAGAGCGCAUCCUCGACACGGAUGAGGCCGGAGGAUCGAGGCCUGCCGCGGCAA
rnacentral:tRNA from 1 species